AAAAGAAAUGUCACAAUUUCUACUUUAACCAUAGUUCUGACCUUUGAGUAAAAUUUGGUAAGUUCUAUUUGUUGGGGUAGUUUUAAGUGG
rnacentral:pre_miRNA from 1 species